CGCGUACGUGUACGAGAGAAACGCGCAUCGCUCGACCCCCGACCUCCCACCAUAACCGGGAACUCCCCGAAAUUUUCCUCGCCCUCGCUUCUACCACAGUUUUUUCCGUCAUGGACGGCCCAAAGAAUAUCAUGCAGCUGCGUCUCCGGCCCGCCCAGGACGAAAAGCCCAUUUUCUGUCAUGAUUUUUUGUCAUAGAAAAACAUGGGUACCCUGCUACUUCAAGCACCAAUUCUUCCCUUUCUUGCAGUCAACUCAACGCAGCGAGGGGUUCAACGCUGUCCUUAAGCGAUAUGUGAACCCACACAAGUCCAUUUUGAACUUUGUGAAUCAAUAUCAGAAAAUCCAAACACACAUACUAGUCCGGGAGGGUUCAAAAGACUACAGGACAGGACAUUUACAGACUGAAAUGUGGUCAUCUUACCCAAUAGAGAAGAAGGCAUACGGAUCAUAUACUAGGGACUUGUAA
rnacentral:rRNA from 1 species